rnacentral:lncRNA from 1 species
AGGCGCCCCAGAGCUGCGGAGCUGCAGACCCGCCGACUGUCUCGCGCUCUGAUUUCCUCACCGUAUGAAAUGAAAUUCCACAGGGGGAUUCGAAAGGAAAUGAGACCGGGACUCUCCGUGCUUCUCGGCCCGCCGCCCUUCCUGUCUCGGGGACACGGUUUCUAAAUAAGAAACUGAUGCUCUGAGAGGCCAAGCAGUUUGCCCAAGAUUACACAGUCUUAGCCAUGCCUGGAAGAACCUUCUCUUCAACUCUGCUGUACCACUGUCAAGCUCACCUUUCUUCUAAGGUUUUAUUUUAGAGUUAACAUCCUCCAAAAAGCCUUCCUCAAGAGUUGAAGGUGCCCCUAAUAUCACAGCCAUGGCAUCCUGUACACUGGACCUUAUUGUCUGUCUGCCUAUUGUAACUUGUAUGAGUCUAUAAGCAAAACCUAUAAGAAGCCACAUCUGGCUAUUCUGUGUACUCAAAAAAUAAUUGGCAAGUGAAAGAAUGAGGAAAAGGAGAAAAAAUUCAGAAGGCCCCUACCCCUUCCAGUGGGUCAAGUCAGGAAUUUCCUACCUGCAUGUGAUUCCCUGUGUCCUAGAGGGUUUUAUUUACUCCUCAGACCUUGGAAACUGUUAACCAGAGUCUCUGUUUGGAGAUCUUAUCUGUGUGCUUCUCCAUGGGUGUUGUUUCCCGUCUCUCCAGCCAUGCAUUCCUCAGCUCUUUAAGUGGUGGAGCCUGUCUGCCUGGAUAGAGUGCAAAAGCUACAGUGUAAUCUUGCUUUCUUUCAGGGCCACUGACCAGAGGAAACAAAAACUGGACUGAUUGGGCUCUCCUGAUGUAGACCAG